GGGCCCGCACAAGCAGUGGAGCAUGUGGUUUAAUUCGAUGCAACGCGAAGAACCUUACCAGGCCUUGACAUCCUCGGAACUUUCUAGAGAUAGAUUGGUGCCUUCGGGAACCGAGUGACAGGUGCUGCAUGGCUGUCGUCAGCUCGUGUCGUGAGAUGUUGGGUUAAGUCCCGUAACGAGCGCAACCCUUGUCCUUAGUUGCCAGCACGUAAUGGUGGGAACUCAUGGGAUACUGCCGGGGUCAACUCGGAGGAAGGUGGGGAUGACGUCAAAUCAUCACGGCCCUUACGUCCUGGGCCACACACGUGCUACAAUGGUAGGUACAGAGGGAAGCCACCCCGCGAGGGGAGCGGA
rnacentral:rRNA from 1 species